rnacentral:tRNA from 1 species
AUUUGUAUAGUAUAAAAAUUAUUUUUAACUUCCAAUUAAAAGAUCUAAUACAUUAGUAUAAAUA